rnacentral:tRNA from 1 species
AGUGGGAUGGUGAAGUAGAAUCACGCAGCUCUCAUAAGGCUGAAUCACGGGUGCAAUUCCCGUUCCCGCAACCA